CGUGGGUCCUACUCGCCAGACCCUCACUCACUCAGGGCGGCGCUGGGGUCCUUUACUGUCACCGUGCUGCGGCACCCGGCUUUGAGGAUCCUCACGCGGUUCCACGGAUCGGAGACUGGCCGCAUGGGAGCAGCCAUCUUGCGCGGCAGGGGAAAGCCGAGCGUAGGCGGAGCUGGAAUCUUGGACUACAGCAGAUUAAUUAUACUAGUUUGACGAGAGAUUCAGCAACUGCUUCACUCAACAGAGGAUCUCAGCAGGCUCCAGUCAGUGUGCUGGAAAAACUGUAAAUGAAGCUGAAGAUAGAAUUUCAGACCUUGAGGAUAGGAUUAUAGUCAUCAGCCAUGAAAAGGUAGGACUUUUCAAAACAACAAAGCAACAUGAAAUGACAAUGUAUCAGCUUCAGGAUGACGCCAAGAGAAAUAAUGUAAGACUAAUAGGCAUCAAUGAAGAUGCAGGGGUCAAUGCAAAUGAUGUAGGUAAACUACUCAGAGUAGUAAUAGAAGAAAAUUUCCCAAACAUGGGGAGAAACCUGAUAUACAGAUAAGGGAGGCAUACAGAAUGCCAAAGAGUCACAAGCAACAUAAAUCUACAUCCAGACAUAUAAUAAUUAGAAUCCCAGACAUACAGCAUAAAAAUAGAAUACUAAAACUGUUAGAGAAAAGACAUCAGAAUCAUGGCAGACUUUUCAGCACAAACCCUCAAGUUAACAUAAGCUUGAGUGAAGUAUUUCAAUCCCUGAAAGAAAACAACUUUCAACCCAGACUGAUAUACCCAGAAAAACUUCCAUUCAAAUUCAGUGGAGAAACAAAAUACUUCCAUGACAAAGAACAAUUGAAGAAUUCAUGUUCACAAAACCAGCCCUAGAAAGAGUAUUGAAAGGCGUACUAGAUAGAGACAAAAAUGACCAUAAUCUCCAGAACAACAGCAGAAACACCACCAGGCAGGGCAAACAAUUAAACAAAGGAGAAAAGCAGAAAACAAACAAUAGAAUAUAACAUGGCAAAGUUGAGCCAAUACAUAACUGUACAUUUAUAUCCAUAAAGGUAAGUGGCCUCAAUUCGCCUAUCAAAAGAAAUAGGUUGACGGAAUGGAUCAAGAAACAGGAUCCCAUAUUACACUAUAUGCAAGAAACACAUCUAACUUAAAAGGAAACUCAUAGCCUAAAAUUCAAAGGAUGGAAAACAUUAUUCCAUGCAACAGGAACCCAGAAAAAAGCAGGGAUACCUAUGCUGUUUGCAGACAAUAUGAACUUCAAGCCCAAAUGACUAAAGAGAUAAAGAAGGUCAUUGCAUACUUGUUAGUGGAAAACUUCCAGAAGAAGAACUAACAAUUAUAUAUAUAUAUAUAUAUAUAUAUAUAUAUAUAUAUGCACCAAAUACAGAAGCACCCAACUAUUUAAGACAAAUACUAAUGGACAUGAAAAAUCAAAUACACAAGAACACAAUUGUAAUAAGCCACCUUAAUAUCCCACUGUCACAAAGAGAUACAUCAACUAGACAAAAAAUCAGCAAAGAAAUAAUAGAACUGAGUGAUACUUGUGAGCAAAUGGAUUUAGUAGAUACUUACAGAGUGUUCCACCCAACCACACCAGAAUACACAUUCUUCUCAGCUGCACAUGAGGCAUUCUCCAGAAUAGACCAUAUAUUAACUCAUAAAACAUUCUAAGUAAAUGCAAUGGGAUUGCAAUUAUCCCAUGCAUAAAAUCUGAUCAUAGUGCAUAGACAUUGGAAAUUGAUGGCAAAAGAAAUUACAAAACCAGCAUAAAUGCAUGGAAAUUAAAUAACAGACUUCCAAACAACCAGUGGGCUACAGAUGAAAUUAAAGAAGAAAUAAAGCAAUAUCUACAAUUCAGUGAAAAUGUGGAUACAACAUACCAUAACCUGUUGUAUGCAAUGAAAGUGAUCCUAAGAAGGAAAUGUAUAGCAAUAAAUUGUCACAUCAAGAAAAUGGAGGUAGCACAAAUAACCUGAUGCUACAUCUCAAGCUCCUAGAAAAGAAAGGGCAAGUAAAACCCAAAGCCCAUAGAAGAGAAGAAAUUGGAAAGAUCAGAGCAAAAAUUAAUGCAAUUGAAGCUAAAAAAGCAAUACAAAAAAUUAAUGAGUUGAAGAGCUGGUUUGUUUGAGAGAAUAAAUAAAAGUAAUAAACCUCCAGUCAACCUUGUCAAGAAAAAGAAAAACUCAAAUUCAUGCAAUAAGAACUGAAAAGAGAAAUCACUACAGACCCCAUAGAAAUUCAAAAGAUCAUAAAGACUUACUUUGAAAAUCUCUACUCACAUAUAGUGGAAAACACAAGGAAAUGGGCAGAUUUCUAGAAACAUAUGAAGUACCAAAGCCCAAUCAAGAAGAUAUAACCAUUUUGAAUAACCCAAUAUCAGCUAUUGAAAUUGAAAAUGUGAUUAAAAACUUAUGAACAAAGCCCAGGUCUUGAUGGAUUCAUGGCUAAAUUCUAUGUGGGAAGACGCCUAUGAUGGCGCCCAUUUCCUGCUUCCGGGUUCUUCCCGGCCUGAACAAGCCCGCCAAAUUGUCAUGUCUGCCCAGUUACCCGUGACGCUAGCCUAUCAGCUUGUUAGACGCGCUUCUCUGUGAUUGGAUACUGCCUCCCCUUAUAAGAGGCUGUUCCUGCCCCCAACGGGCGGAAGAGGAACCAACACUGAGGGUGGCGGACCUUGUCAGGUCCGGUUCGCUGUACGCAAUAAAGUUUGAGAGCUGAUCCUGCUCGAGUUUGGUCUCCUGUCUCCCGCGGCUCCGGUCAAUUCUACAAGAAAUUUAGAGAAGAGUUGACUCCAACACUUCUUAAACUUUUCAAUGAAAUCAAAAAAGGAGCAGUGCUCCCUAACUCAUUCCUAGAAACAAGUAUCACUUUGAUACCAAAAGCAGAGAAAGACCUAACUAAAAAGAGAACUAUAGGCCAGUCUCACUAAUGAACACUGAUGCAAAGAUGCUCAAUAAGGGGCUAGGAAUUUAGCUCAGCAGCAUAAGUGCCUGCCUUGCAAGCAGGCAGUCGUGAGUUCAAUCCCUGGUACUAAUAAAAACGAAAAAGAAAGAAAAAAAAGAUGCUCGAUAAAAUGUUAGCAAAUAGAAUGCAGCAAAUCAUCAAGAAGAUUAUACACCACGACCAAGUGGGAUUUAUUCCAGGAAUGCAGGGAUGGUUUAAUAUAUGCAAAUCAAUAAAUGCAAUACAUCACAUCAGAGCCAAAAACAAAAAUCACAUCAUCAUCUCAAUAGGUGCAGAAAAAGCUUUUGAUAAAGCCCAAUACCUGAUCAUGAUAAACACCCUAUAGAAACUUGGAAUAGAUGGUAUCUACCUCAAUCUUAUAAAGGCCAUCUAUGACAAAACUAACAGUCAACAUUAUACUAAAUGGACAAAAACUGAAAGCUUUCACUUUAAAAUCAGGAACAAGACAAGGAUGUCAAUUAUCACCACUCCUAGUCAAUAUAGUUCUGGGAAUAUUAGGGCAGUCAGACAAGAGAUAGAAGUAAAAGGAACAAAGAUAGGAAAGGAAAAAGUUAAAUCAUCAUUAUUUGCCAAUGACAUGAUACUUUAUAUAGAAGACCCAAAAAACUCCAUGAAAAGACUGCUAGAGGUACUAAACAAAUUCAGCAGUGUAGCUGAAUACAAAGUCAGUGCUCAAAAAUCAACAGCAUUCCUGUAUACAAACCAAAAAACUCACUGAGAGCGAAAUUAUGGAAUUAUCGCCUUUCACAAUAGCACCUUUAAAAAAUGAAAUAUCUAGGAAUCAACCUAACCAAUAAUGUAAAAGACCUAUAUGCUGCAAAUUGUACUACUCUUUAAAAAGGAGAUUGAAGAGGAUAUUAGAAAAUGGAAGAAUAUUCCUUGCUUUUGGUUAGGAAGAGCCAACAUUGUGAAAAUGGCCAUACUCCCAAAACUGUAUGGCCAAACUCGCAAAUACAGAUUUAAUGCAAUCCCAAUCAAAAUGCCACUAACAUACCUUACAGGUCUGGAGAAAACACUUCUAAAAUUCCUUUGGAAACAGAAGAAACCUAGAAUAGCAAAGGCAAUUCUGGGCAAGAAAGGCAAAGCAUCUCAAUUCUUGACUUGAAAUUACACUACAAAGCCACAAUGAUACAAUCAUCAUGGUACUGGCAAAGAAAGAGACCUAAGGACCAAUGGAACAGAUUAGAAGAUGCAAACACAACUACAAAGACACUUAUAGCCACCUUAUAUUUGACAGAGGGGCUAAAUAUGUUCACUGGAAAAAGAAUAGCCUCUUUAAUAAAUGGUGUUGGAAAAGUUGGCUUUCCAUAUGCCGAAGGCUGAUACUAGACCCAUGCCUGUCACCAUACACUAAACUUAAGUCUAAAUGGAUCAAAGAUCUAAAUAUUAAAACAGAAACACUAAAUCUAUUUGAAGACAAGGUAAGUAGGAAGCUUUGAGACAUAGUGGUAGGGAGAAGAUUCAUGAACAAAAUGCAAACUGCACAGGAAAUACUUCAAAGAAUCAACAACUGGGAUCUAAUUAUUAAAAAGUUUUUGUACUUCAAAAGAAAUCACCAACAGAGUGAAAAGAAAACCCACAGAAUGGGAAAGAAUUUUAGCCAGCAACCCCUCAGACAAAGGACUUAUAUCCAGAAUAUAUAAAGAAUUGAAAACAUGAAGCCCCCUGAAUUCAAAGAUCCUUUCCAAAAGUGGGCAUCUGAGCACACAUUUCUCAGAUGAAGAUAUACAAAUGACAAAUAAAUACAUGAAGAAAUGUUCACCAUCACUGGUCAUUCGAGAAAUGCAAAUUAAAACAGCACUGAGAUUUUAUCCCACUUCGGAAAGAAUGGCUGCCAUCAAGAAAUCAACUGAUUGGUGAGGCUGUUGGGAAAAAGGAAAGCUUCUCCACUGUUUGUGGGAGUGUAGACUGGUACUGUCACUAUGGAAAUGAAUAUGGAGAUUCCUCUAAAAACUAGGAUUGGAAGUUCCAUUCAACCCAUCUAUUCCCCUCCUGGGUAUUUUCCCAGUAAAACUGAAAAAAGUCAUGUCACAGUUAUAUAUGUACACCCAUGUUUAUAGCACCACUGUCAUGGUUUAUGUCUGGCCCCAGGCCUCAUGCAUUUGCAUUGUGCAUUUGUGAUUGGUUCAUUGUCUAGAGCUUGGAUUGAUGGUGUCAGUGCUACACCCACCUAGGGGUGGAGCCAGCAUAUAAUUUAAUGGCAGGAAGAAACACUCUCUCCCUCUCUCUCUCUCUCUCUCUCUCUCUCUCUCUCUCUCUCUCUCUGGUUUCUGCUUGCUGUUUGCAGCCACCAUGAACUGUGGCCCUGCCAUGCCACCCUGCCUGGAAUACAACUGAGUUGGACUGAGAGGUUCAAAAACUGUAAGAAAUAAAUCUUUCUUUUCCCAACUUUGGGCAUCAGGUUAUUUUGUGUCAGCAAUGAGUAAAAAAUAACUAAGACAGAAUUUGGUACCAGAAGUGGUAUUGCUAUGACUAUACAUGACCAUGUUUUUCAAGAGGCUUUGGAAAUGGCUUGUGGGCAGAGUUUGGAAAGGUUCAGACAUGAUGCAUAGCGCUGGAGCAGUUUGGUCUGUUCUUUAGUGAAGAGUCUGGUCAAAGCUCAGAAGACCAGAAGGCUGAUAGAAAGCCUGAUGGUAAAGACCAGACUUGGGAAGUUUCUGCUGGGAAAAAGGACUGCAUUGAUUGUUGGACUCCCCAAAAUGUGUGGGGAAGAAUGUGUGAUUUGGCAGAAAGUUUGUCUGCAUUUUGCUCAUGCAGAGACUUUGCCUGGGACUGAGACUAAGGGAAAUGGACUGAUUAAUCUGGCAAAGGAAAUUUCAAGGCAGUUGAAUGUUGAGGCUGUGGCAUGGCUAUUGUUGGGGCUUUUAGCCAGCUUUAUGUUGCAAAUCAAGAGCAAAGAGCCCAGCAGGAUAACUUGCAAAACUGUGAGUUUGGCCAGAAGGAAAACUCCAGGAAAGCUGUGGAUUGUAGAGACAGAGAUGGGACUUUGACUGCUGAGGAGAAACAGAGAGAGAAAAAAGAUGGCCAUGGGGCAUCCCAAGAAGCAGUGGGUCUCUACCCUUUGCAGCCUCAAAACUGCAAAAGUGAAAGAAUUUGCUCAGAGGGGAAAGCUGCAGAGCACUAUGCUCCAGAAUGGUGACAGAGGCCACAUGAGGUUCCAGAAUGGUGGCAGCCAAAUGAAGUUCCAGAAUGGUGGCAACAUAGAAAAGCUUUUCUUCACAAUCAGGAUCACAGAGUCAGUGGUCCAGGCAAUCAACCCCUACAGCCAAGAGAGAAAAAAGCCUGGCUACUGCUCUAGCUGGCAGCAAACCUUGGCCCACAUGGCGCUGAUUUUAGGUGCAAGAAAAGUACACAAAUUCUGAGGGUAAAUCAGCUUCCUCCUUGAUUACAAAGGGCCCGGGAGACCAAGCAGUGUGCCCCUCAGAGGGCAAUUUGUAAAGAUGUAAAGGUGAAGCCAAAGGUUCAAUGGAGACCCCAGAAGUUUGGAAAAGCUAGGAAUGUGGAUCAUCCAAGGAAAGCUGCAAAAAGUGAGCAAAAAAGGUUUAAGAAAGAAGCUGCAGGAGCUGAUAUCCCUGGAAGUGCUGUGGGGGUGGAAUCACGCAAGCCUUUUGGAGCUUGCAAACAGAUUGCUUCAAAUGCUGAGCAUGGAAGUCUAGGACUUAAUGUUUGCCCUGCUGGAUGUUGGACUUGCUUUGUUUCCAAUGCUUUAUAUCCCCUUGUUUGUAACUUUUGGAAUGGUAGUGUUAAUCUUGUGCCUUUGCGUUUCAGAAAUGUUUAACCUUGUUUCAUUUGUACAGGAGGUUACAGUUAACAGUUUGCUGUAGAUAUGGGAGGAAACUUGGGACUUGGACUUUUCAGCAAUGCUGAAACUAUUAGGACUUUGGCAACUCUUGGAGAUGGACUAAAUGUGUUUUGUAUAAAUGAUAUACAUGAGUCCUGGGGGCCAGGGGCAGAAUGUCAUGGUUUAUGUCUGUGGCCCCCAGGCCUCAUGCAUUUGUACUAUGCAUUUGUGAUUGGUUCAUUGUCUAGAGCUUGGAUUGAUGUAUCAGUGCUACACGCACCUAGGGGUGGAGCCAGCAUAUAAUCUAAUGGCAGGAAGAAGGUGUGUCUCUCUCUGUCUUGCUGGUUUCUGCUUGCUAUUUGCAGCCACCAUGAAGUGCGGCCCUACCAUGCCACCAUGCCUUGGAGCCAACAGUAUGGAUUGAAACCUCCAAAAACUGUAAGAAAUAAAUCUUUACUUUCCCAACUUUGGGCAUCAGGUAUUUUGUUCAGCGAUGAGUAAAAAGUAAGACAAACACAGUUUAUAAUAGCUAAAUCUUGGAAACAACCAAAAUGCCCAUCAACUGCAGAGUGGAUGAAAAAGUUGUAUUUUUAUACUGUGGAAUAUUACUCAGCUAAGACUGACAUUUAUAAAUAUCACAUUGUCUCUCUAGUGUAGAAAAAUAAUAAACUGAAAGAGUAAUAAGAUCCAAAAUGUAUAACAGAAAUUGUGAAAGUGAAA